CAUCAGAUGACUGAAAGCAAGUGAUGGUCUCUUAAACCAUUUAAUAGUAAUCUAGCACCUACUUCUGAUGA
rnacentral:tRNA from 1 species